rnacentral:rRNA from 1 species
AGGAUCCCCCUAGUAACGGCGAGUGAAGAGGGAGAAGCCCAGCACCGAAGCCUGCGCAGGUUUGCUGUUAGGCCAUGUGGUGUUUGGGUCGGCUCGUGGGACCACCGCUCCACUCGAAGUCCAGCAUUGAGUAUGGUUACUGGAUUUGGCCCAGAGAGGGUGAAAGGCCCGUACGGUGGAGUAUCAGACAUGUGAGUUGUGGUUCACCAGGUCGACCUUAGAGUCGGGUUGUUUGGGAAUGCAGCCCAAAGUGGGUGGUAAACUCCAUCCAAGGCUAAAUACUAGCACGAGUCCGAUAGCGAACAAGUACCGUGAGGGAAAGUUGAAAAGUACUCUGAAGAGUGAGUAAACAGUACGUGAAACCGCGUGCAGGUAAACGGGUGGCGUCAAGCUGCAAGCCCAGAGAAUUCAGCCGGCUAGGGUGUUGUGUAUGCGCCUGGCGCAUCUAUCAGUCAGAGUAUGACUGGGUAGUCCACUAGAAAACAGUGGGCCUGUCCGCAAGUCAGGAUAUGUGUACCGGGUGGGUGCCGGAGCAUGCUAUCCGUCUGGGGGCUGUCUAGCCGGUGCACUUUCUCUGUGGUCAACACCACGACCGGUGGUAUUGCCAGUCUACUGUGUCCAAGUCGCAUCUGAUAGGUCCAUCUCGUGGCCAACCGGGUGCGAUCACACGCGAACUCAGUGAACGGCGUGAGGGUGUCUAGGCACUUUUGCGUGUUAUCGGCUACUGGUUGUGAACGGGCCUGCUCGGUGUUUGUUGUAACCGGCACCUGGGUGGCCGGUGGGGCAUGGUGGUAGGAAUAACUGUGCAAGGCACCGGGGUCGUCGGCCUCAAUUGCUUCCCGCGUCCACGUUACAAGUGGUGUCUCGUAACUACGGCGAUGUCGUCGCUGCCUGCCCGGUGCUGGGUGUGAUUGGCGUGUUGCCUGCGCAAAGUAGGCCCGUCGGUGGCUCGGCUCGGGAUGGGUGGUUGGUGGCGUUGUCGGGGGCGCUGUGGGCCCAAUAGUCAGUGGU